rnacentral:rRNA from 1 species
CCAAUAGCGUAUAUUAAAGUUGUUGCAGUUAAAAAGCUCGUAGUUGAAUUUCGGGGUCAGCAGGUCGGUCGUGCCACUGGUAUGUACUGGCCUUGCUGAUUCCUCCCUCUUGACGAACCGUAAUGCCAUUAAUUUGGUGUUGCGGGAAAUCAGGACUGUUACUUUGAAAAAAUUAGAGUGUUUAAAGCAGGCUUAAGCUUGAAUACAUUAGCAUGGAAUAAUGAAAUAGGACGUUCGAUCCUAUUUUGUUGGUUUCUAGGAUUGACGUAAUGAUUAAUAGGGAUAGUUGGGGGCAUUAGUAUUCAAUUGUCAGAGGUGAAAUUCUUGGAUUUAUUGAAGACUGACUACUGCGAAAGCAUUUGCCAAGGAUGUUUUCAUUAAUCAAGAACGAAAGUUAGGGGAUCGAAGACGAUCAGAUACCGUCGUAGUCUUAACCAUAAACUAUGCCGACUAGGGAUCGGAUGAUGUUAAUUUUUUAAUGACUCAUUCGGCGCCUUACG